CCUACGGUGGGCUGCAGUGGGGAAUAUUGGACAAUGGGGGGAACCCUGAUCCAGCCAUGCCGCGUGUGUGAAGAAGGCCCUCGGGUUGUAAAGCACUUUCAGUGAGGAAGAACGCCUGGUGGUUAAUACCCAUCAGGAAAGACAUCACUCACAGAAGAAGCACCGGCUAACUCCGUGCCAGCAGCCGCGGUAAUACGGAGGGUGCGAGCGUUAAUCGGAAUUACUGGGCGUAAAGCGCGCGUAGGUGGCUUGAUAAGCCGGUUGUGAAAGCCCCGGGCUCAACCUGGGAACGGCAUCCGGAACUGUCCAGCUAGAGUGCAGGAGAGGAAGGUAGAAUUCCCGGUGUAGCGGUGAAAUGCGUAGAGAUCGGGAGGAAUACCAGUGGCGAAGGCGGCCUUCUGGACUGACACUGACACUGAGGUGCGAAAGCGUGGGUAGCAAACAGGAUUAGAUACCCUUGUAGUC
rnacentral:rRNA from 1 species